rnacentral:rRNA from 1 species
UCCUGGCUCAGGAUGAACGCUAGCUACAGGCUUAACACAUGCAAGUCGAGGGGCAUCAGGGUCUGUGCUUGCACAGAUUGCUGGCGACCGGCGCACGGGUGAGUAACGCGUAUCCAACCUUCCCCUUAGUAGAGGAUAGCCCGGCGAAAGUCGGAUUAAUACUCUAUGUUGUUCAAUGCGGACAUCUAAGUUGAACCAAAGGUUUACCGCUAAGGGAUGGGGAUGCGUCUGAUUAGGUAGUAGGCGGGGUAACGGCCCACCUAGCCAACGAUCAGUAGGGGUUCUGAGAGGAAGGUCCCCCACAUUGGAACUGAGACACGGUCCAAACUCCUACGGGAGGCAGCAGUGAGGAAUAUUGGUCAAUGGGCGCGAGCCUGAACCAGCCAAGUAGCGUGCAGGAUGACGGCCCUAUGGGUUGUAAACUGCUUUUAUGCGGGGAUAAAGUGAGGGACGUGUCCCUUAUUGUAGGUACCGCAUGAAUAAGGACCGGCUAAUUCCGUGCCAGCCGCUGC